rnacentral:rRNA from 1 species
AGGAUAAACGCUGGCGGCGUGCCUAACACAUGCAAGUCGAACGCCCUUUAGCUUCGCAAGGAGUGGGAGGGAGUGGCGGACGGGUGAGGAACACGUGGGUGACCUACCUUUCAGUGAGGAAUACCGGCGAGAAAUCGCCGACAAGACCGCAUACGGUUGCUGCAUCAGCGCAGCAACGAAAGCUUCACGAGAGUGAGGCGCUGGAAGAUGGGCCUGCGGCCGAUUAGCUAGCUGGUGGGGUAACGGCCUACCAGGGCGACGAUCGGUAGCUGGUCUGAGAGGACGAUCAGCCACACUGGGAUUGAGAACGGCCCAGACUCCUACGGGGGGCAGCAGUGAGGAAUUUUCGGCAAUGGGGGCAACCCGUGACCGAGCAACGCCGCGUGCAGGAGGAAGGUCUUCGGAUCGUAAACUGCUUUUCUGUGGGAAGAGGAACGGACGGUACCACGAGGAAGAAGCCCCGGCUAACCUACGCGCCAGCAGCCGCGGU